rnacentral:misc_RNA from 1 species
AUCCAAUCAAGCCUGGCUUGGUAUUGGGCGUCGGGGUCCCUCGCGCCUCAAUUUCACCGGCUGGCCGUCGCCCGUUUUAGCGUUGUGACACACUUUUCGCUACCGAUGGGACCGGACCACGCCGUCAAAACUCUACGAAUUUCAAUCGAAAUUUGAUUAAGGUUGACCUCGGAUCGGGUAGGAAUACCCGCUGAACUUAA